UUUCUAACUUAUGCCACUUUUAUAGGGGUGAUGUUGUACAGGUAGACACUUGGGUUAGUGCAUCUGGAAAGAAUGGAUUGCGUCGAGAUUGGCUUAUCCAAGAUUAUAAUACUGGUGAAAUUUUAACAAGAGCAACCAGUGUAUGUGUGAUGAUGAAUAAACUUACAAGGAGAUUAUCUAAAAUGCCAGAAGAGGUUCGAGCAGAGAUAGGGCCUUUUUUUAUGAACUCUGAUCCUGUUGUGGAUGAGGAUGACAAAAAACUAACAAAACUUGAAGAUAACACUGCAGAUAUUGUUCGUACUGGUUUAACUCCUAAAUGGAGUGACUUGGAUGUCAACCAACAUGUUAAUAAUGUGAAGUACAUUGGUUGGAUCCUUGAGGUAGAUUCUUCUGUUAGACUUUCUUUUUCUCUCUUAUCGUAUGCACCGUGACAGAAAACUCAAUAUUGUUGUUUAUAUCUUUCAUUAUAUGCCUAUAGUACCUUCUGUUUUUUAUUUAUUAUUGCAUACCAAGAAUGAAGCUUCUAAGGCUUAUUAAUAUUAUUAUUUCCUCAGAAUUUAGAAAGAUGCAUAUGAAGGGCUUUUACAAGUGAAUUAUAAUUUACAGCACCUUGUCUUACACUUAAUAGGGAUGUCAAAAGCAGACUCAGUUGUGGAACAAGCGUGUGAUAGAAGAAGCAUAUUAUGAGAAUCUGAAACAAUCAAAGACUUUUUCUUUCAAAGACUGAAAUAAUCGAAAGUUUACACACGUAUUAAACUUUGAUAUUAUAAGAGAACUAUGUGACUUACAUUCUGAUUAGCUGUUCAAAUGGACCAUAUUUUUUGUUGUGAUUAUGCAACCUAUUCCAAUCUCUCCGGAGAACAAGAACUAACUCUACUAAAAAUGUAGAAUUAGCAUAAUGACAACAAGAAAUAAAGUCCAUUUGGUGCUGAUUUCUUACCCACUGCAUAAUCAUUUUUUCUCCAUUUGAAAGUUGACGAAGUUUGAGAGUG